rnacentral:rRNA from 1 species
AAAUUGAAGAGUUUGAUCAUGGCUCAGAUUGAACGCUGGCGGCAGGCCUAACACAUGCAAGUCGAACGGUAGCACAGAGAGCUUGCUCUCGGGUGACGAGUGGCGGACGGGUGAGUAAUGUCUGGGAAACUGCCUGAUGGAGGGGGAUAACUACUGGAAACGGUGGCUAAUACCGCAUAACGUCGCA